rnacentral:lncRNA from 1 species
AGGCAUAUUAGCUGCAUUUGCUUAGCUGGUUACUAUCUAUUCUUUCUUCUAUUAUGCCUGAUUUAGACCUAGUGGGAAAGUCGGCGAGGUCGGCGGCCGAACCCACUGGAAACUUUGUUGUAAUUCUCACCCUCCUUUUUCCACAGAGCCGGAACCGAGUGAACCGGCGGACGAUCGCAGUGAGGGUAUCGCGCCAUAGUUAGAGACCGCCCGAAUUGGUUUUAUUUUGGGUUUAGUUGCAUACCUUUUAUAUAUCAUCUUUUGUAUUUGAUGAUUAUAGUCAUAUGAAUGAUGUAUUAAAGAUGUUUCAUUGAUGUUAGAAUAUCAAGAGCUUUAUUUUGAGAAUAUGUGAUGUAAAAAGGAAUGAUGCAAGGGAUGUAAAAGAAUACAAAUGUUGAGAGCAUGUAUGUAGUUAAAAGUUAAUCAUAUUACUUGUAUGUUGU